AUUCCAGCUCCAAUAGCGUAUAUUAAAGUUGUUGCAGUUAAAAAGCUCGUAGUUGGAUUUCGGAACCGGCCGAUUGGUCCGUCCUCUGGAUCGUGUACUGAUCGGUCUGUUCUUCUUCGCGAAGACCGCGUGUGCCCUUAACUGGGUGGGCGCGGGAUUCGCGACGUUUACUUUGAAAAAAUUAGAGUGUUCAAAGCAGGCAGUCGCUUGAAUAUCUCAGCAUGGAAUAAUAGAAUAGGACUUUGGUCUUAUUUUGUUGGUUUCCGAGACCGAAGUAAUGAUUAAUAGGGACAGUCAGGGGCGCUCGUAUUCCGCCGAGAGAGGUGAAAUCCUCAGACCAGCGGAAGACGAACCACUGCGAAAGCAUUUGCCAGGGAUGUUUUCAUUA
rnacentral:rRNA from 1 species